AGGGUAAGAGGCGCUGAGGGAAGUCAUGUGAUCUGGGUCAUCUGAGUCAGUCAGCAGAGAAAGCCAGUCUGGAAAGAACCUUUUUAAAGCAAUGGGUAGGGGGUGGACCAGUGUUAUGAUCACUUACUGACACUGCCAACAGCCACUUCACUUUACCUAUAUCAAAAUUAGUCAUGUCCACAGCAUCAGGAAAAUCAAAGCCGAG